rnacentral:lncRNA from 1 species
UUUCGCAAUCAUUUCCCCUGACCGUGGGCGGCCCACUACCAGGCGGUUACAAACGUCGCCAUCAGUCCGUUGCCUCCCCCGCCUAUAAAAGGGGGGACUCAGAUACGUUAUUCCUUAAGCCCUUUCGCCUUAUCUCAAAACUCUGCUAAAUUCUCCGUUCGAGCACUCCAUUCUUGUUGAGGCAGAGAACUGACUUGAGCGUCGGAGGGUCUUGCCGGAGCAACCCCACCUCCGGUUUAGACUUCCCUUGCAGGUCCCGGCGGCGACCGCGGCUUCCUCAACUCCAGCUUCUCCGGUGCAGGCGGAUUUCUGCACCAACA